UAAAAGAAAUGCAAAAAAACAAAACAAUGCACAUACAUGUGGUCGUAAAAGUUUUGCACGAAUUAGGAAAGAAAUAGAAAAUGAAACUGGGAAAGAGCCGGAUCGUCUUACAAUGUGGGAUGCAACUCAUAAAAAGAAAGAUGGUAGCUAUGUAAAUGAAGAAUUUAGAAAGAAAUUGGAAGCAGCACAUGAUCUCCAAGUUAGUUACACAAGCUCAAGUGCAAAUUUUGAACAAAAUGAAAUCAAUGAAAUGGUAUUUCAAAAGAUUUAUGGAGCUGAACAUAAUGGUAGGGUGCGUGGUUUGGGAUUAG